rnacentral:rRNA from 1 species
UACGAAGGGGGCUAGCGUCGCUCGGAAUUAUUGGGCGUAAAGUGUGCGCAGGCGGCCGCGCAAGUCGAGUGUGAAAUCCCCGAGCUUAACUUGGGAAUUGCGCUCGAAACUACGUGGCUGGAGUGUGGCAGAGGAAGGUGGAAUUCCACGUGUAGCGGUGAAAUGCGUAGAGAUGUGGAGGAACACCGAUGGCGAAGGCAGCCUUCUGGGCCAACACUGACGCUCAUGCACGAAAGCGUGGGGAGCAAACAGG